UCAAUUGCGGCAGCAGUCAAG
rnacentral:piRNA from 1 species